rnacentral:snoRNA from 1 species
CUGUCCCUAGAGGCAUUGUGGUGUGGCUGCUGUGUCACACAUGUGUCCU